UUUAUCGGAGAGUUUGAUCCUGGCUCAGGACGAACGCUGGCGGCGUGCCUAAUACAUGCAAGUCGAGCGGACAGAUGGGAGCUUGCUCCCUGAUGUUAGCGGCG
rnacentral:rRNA from 5 species